rnacentral:lncRNA from 1 species
UUUAAUUUAAUUUUUUAAAUAUUAUAAAUAUAUAAGCUAGUAAAUGAUGAAAUUACAUUUUAACUUUUAAAAAAAUACAUAACUCAAUUCCAGCCCUCCCAGAAAUAAUUUUUAACUUUCACCCCUGACCUCAUCCCUUAACCAUUUCUCCAAAGAAUAUUUACAGCAAAAAAUUAUCAUUACUAUAGAUGAUUCGGAAAAUAAAAAGAAAAAAAACCCUUAUUGGAUGGUUGGUUGGUGAAUAAUAUCUGGCUAAACUGGCACUUUUUGCAGUGGAAAACCAAU